rnacentral:rRNA from 1 species
UACGAGGGGGGCAAGCGUUGUUCGGAAUUAUUGGGCGUAAAGGGCGCGUAGGCGGUGCGGUAAGUCACCUGUGAAAUCCUGGAGCUCAACUCCAGAACUGCCUUUGAUACUGGGAAGCUUGAGUUCGGGAGAGGUGAGUGGAACUGCGAGUGUAGAGGUGAAAUUCGUAGAUAUUCGGAAGAACACCAGUGGCGAAGGCGACUCACUGGACAUGUAUUGACGCUGAGGUACGAAAGCGUGGGGAGCAAACAGG